rnacentral:lncRNA from 1 species
AUGCUGUGCUGAACAUUGAGCCGAACUGGUCCACUUUCUUUACCGGAGAGUCUGUUACCUUCAUGUGUGGCGUUACGGGAGUAAAAGACCCCAACUCGUAUUACAAAAUCUAUAAGGCUGAUCAACAAGAUUGUCGACUUACACCAAAAACGAGAACUUAACAUUACAACCUCUAGCUAAAGGCUGGAGUGGUGAAUACCACUGCUUGAUGUACUCAUCUGGGCUCAACUAAAGAGAGUAACAAAGUCUCUCUCACUGUAUCAGACAAAGACGUGAUUGUGGAAACACCUGCAUCUACCUUGUUUGAAGGAGAACCAGUGACUCUGCGCUGUAGGCAUCGUACCCCGAGAGAGGGGCAGGAUGCCGUCUUCUACAGAGACGGAUCACCUAUUGAAGUGGACACAAACCAUCAGUCACCCAUGAGAUCAACAAACACAGUUCAAGUGACGUCAGAUCGGAGCUCUUACAUGUGUAAAUUUGAGGACGAAGAAUCUGAAGCAAUAACUCUGAAAAUGGAACCACAACCAAAGGCCCAACUGAGCCAAGACGAUCAUGUCGGGGGCAACGUGACCCUGACCUGCUCUGUGAAGACAUCAUCUUCAUCUGGUUGGAAAUACUUCUGGUACAGAGGCAAGAAAGCCUCUGAAGCCCUGACCACACAGGGUGUGGUCUUCCACUCAGAUGCAAAGAUCAGUGUCUCAGAAGGAGGACUCUACUGGUGCAGAGGAGGAACAGGAGACCCCGUUUACUACACAGAGUACAGCCAUUCAGCCGGUAAAGAAGAAAUCUGCUCUUUGUUUGAAUUAAAAUUAAAGGCUUAAGUAAACACUUGCAACAAAAGACACCUAAACAUGAACUUAAAAUA